GUGAAUCAUCAAAUUUUUGAACGCAAAUUGCACUCUCUGGUAUUCCGGAGAGUAUGCCUGUUUGAGAGUCAGUUUAAAUAAAAAUCGGUUUGUUUGCUGCCUUUCUUGGUGACGCACGGAGGUUGGGUCGGCUUGCCUUCGGUUAGUUGACCUAAAAUGUUUCAUAAUUUUUUUCAAACGUAUUUGAAUGAUUAUACGUACGUUUACGAUAUCGAAUACUAGGUGUAGUCGUCCUCAUGAUUCUC
rnacentral:misc_RNA from 1 species